GAAGUGCGAUAAGCAAUGCGAAUUGCAGAAUUCCGCGAAUCAUCAGAUCUUUGAACGCAAGUGGCGCCAGAGGGAUAUCCUUCCGGCAUGUCUGUUUCAGUGUCUGAGAGGUUUCACAAUAAUCUUAAUGUGAUUGAAUUCGGCUUGUUUUUUGAUGGUAGUAAAAUAUCAUCAUCUACUUGCUCUUUUCUCUCAUGAAAGAUGCGCGAGGGGAUCUUUCGGUCCAAUGAAGUGGUCACAUCACUCGAAUGUGAUUUCAUUGGAAGCACCGAAUUAUCAUUUUUAACUCGCGGUAUCAUAAUUAUUAUUAUUUUAUUAGAUGAUGCUAUGCAACAUUUUAAUAAAAAACUCUCUAUACCCUGCAUCUGAGAUAGGCAAGAUCACCCGCUGAACUUAA
rnacentral:misc_RNA from 1 species